rnacentral:lncRNA from 1 species
AUGAGAAGUGUACUAAACCUUGGGGAAUUGGGUCCCCUACCCUGGCCUCCUCCUGGGCUCAGCCCUGCUUGCUCUGAAGAGGUUGGUAAACCCUCUGCAUCCACGAGGUUAGGACAAGAUCUUGUUGCUAAGAACUGCUCAAGGGCCAAGAGUAUGCUCUGGACCAAAGAGAAAAGCCCAUCACACCAGGCUAACAUCCCCCCCCUUCCCCGUGCCUUCAUCCCUCACAGUAUGCAGCUGACCCCCAGGACAAGCACUGGCUGGCCGAGCAGCAUCACAUGCGGGCAACAGGGGGGAAGAUGGCCUACCUCCUCAUUGAGGAGGACAUCCGGGACCUCGCUGCCAGCGAUGACUACAGAGGAUGCUUGGACCUGAAGUUAGAGGAGCUGAAAUCCUUUGUCCUGCCCUCCUGGAUGGUUGAGAAGAUGCGGAAGUACAUGGAGACACUCCGGACAGAGAAUGAGCAUCGUGCUGUCGAAGCGCCUCUGCAGACCUGAAGCCAGGUCCCCUGGCUACAGUUGGCAGCCCUCCUCCAAGGCCCUCUUACCCACAUGGCUGAGGCCACUGCUGGGACUACUCCUAGAUGGAUCUCAGAGGCAUUAAAGCUAUGCCUGGGCUAGUUUGUAGUGACUCACUGCAGAACACCCCCAGACUGGCAUGUGGUUCUAUAUUUGUAAAGUUAUUGGGAUAAGAAGCAAUUAAAUGGUUUGUAAUAAACACAGAUGGUGAGCCUGCUGUGAGGUCUGCCUGUGCACGCUGACAAAACAUCAAGGGCUCUAGAGGAAGUGGGUGAAGGAAAAAAGGACCAGGCUCGCUUCCCCCACCCCACAUUAUUCCCAGGAAGCCCAGUGCCCCAUGCGUAUCUGCUUUGUG